UACAGAGGAGCCAAGCGUUGUCCGGAUUGACUGGGCGUAAAGCGCACGCAGGCGGACGCGCGCGUGGGGUGUGAAAUCUGGCCGCUUAACGGCCAGGCGCCAUCCCAUACGGCGCGUCUGGAGUGAUGCAGAGGUCGAUGGAAUUGCCGGUGUAGUGGUGAAAUGCGUAGAGAUCGGCAGGAACACCAGCGGCGAAGGCGCCGCUCUGGGCCGUAACUGACGCUGAGGAGCGAAAGCAUGGGUAGCAAACAGG
rnacentral:rRNA from 1 species